rnacentral:misc_RNA from 1 species
UCCGGUUUGUCACCGGCAGUCUCCUUUGAGUUCCCAGCAUUACCUGAUGGCAACAAAGGACAAGGGUUGCGCUCGUUACGGGACUUAACCCAACAUCUCACGACACGAGCUGACGACAGCCAUGCAGCACCUGUCUCUAGGUUCCCGAAGGCACCAAGGCAUCUCUGCCAAGUUCCUAGGAUGUCAAGACCUGGUAAGGUUCUUCGCGUUGCAUCGAAUUAAACCACAUGCUCCACCGCUUGUGCGGGCCCCCGUCAAUUCAUUUGAGUUUUAACCUUGCGGCCGUACUCCCCAGGCGGUCUACUUAGUGCGUUAGCUGCGCCACUAAAGAAACAAGUUCUCCAACGGCUAGUAGACAUCGUUUACGGCGUGGACUAC